GACAUUUAUAUUUGAUGCAUAUUAAAUAUUUAUCCUGAUAUUAUUAAUUCAAACCCUAUUCAUGACAGGUUUCAUGCUAAAAUGCAUAGAUGAGAAUUUGUGUGCGUAAUUUUCAGCAAUGGGAGCGCCUUGUGCAAGCAGCAGUCACAGGAUUCCGACGACCCAAAUGAUUCUGACCACAGAAUCCUGCUUUUCAAAAUUCCUGUGAAUCCAUGGAGUACUCCUGUAUCCUCUCAACUACGAAGAAGCAGAGAGUUCCAGCAAAGCCGAGGAUGACCAGAAGCAGGAGCUGCCACGUUAGCAGAAGGUCCUCGUCCACAGCCAUGGAAAUUAAAACACGCCUGAAAAAAAAUCAUAUUGAGGGCCUUUCUUGCCCUCAACAGUUCUCCAUCUUAGCUGGCCAGGAUCUGCCUGAUUGCAGCCUACUCUUCUUGAGUGC